AAGAAGGAAGGAAGGAAGGAAGGGAGGAAGGAAGGGGAAGGGAGGGAAAGGAAAUUAUGAGGUACACGGAGCACCAACCAGAUGCCAAGUUCAUGUAACCAAUAGAUCUUAGAUUCACACUGGGCCCAAUCACAGAGGAAGCAAUCAGUGGCUAAAGGUGACUAAGCACUUUAGGAAAUUAUCACCCUGGUUUCUCAAAUGGUAGGUCUGAUUAUAUUUUCACAUACUGGGUCACGCCUCAUGGUGGCACAGCCUCGUCCAUGAUCACCCCAGAGCUGGUGUGGGCCAGACACCAGAGCCUCCCUGGCUGGAGAAGGACUGUGAGAGACUAAUUGUCUAUGGAAAUGAAUGGUUACAGUCACUGGGCUCUCAAAACUGGAAUGCAAUUUAUAAAGCAGAGCAUUAUUAUUCCAAAACCCACAUUCUGCAGAGGAAGUGAAACUUCUCCAACUGGUGUGCCAGCAGCCCACCUUCCAGAGCCUACCUUCACGCCUCACAAGGAAACAGCUUGGAAAGGACUGGGGCAUACCAACAUGUUUACGGAAUCAGCCUUUGGCAUUGGAAUAGAUCCAGUUUCAAAUCUCUAGGCCACUCCAUCAUUUAACGGAUAGAGGUUGGCCAGGCGCAGUGGCUCAUGCCUGUAAUCCCAGCACUUUGGGAAGCUGAGGCAGGCGGAUCAUCUGAGGUCAGGAGUUUGAGACCAGCCUGGCCAACAUGGCAAAACCCCAUCUCUACUGAAACUACAUAAAAUUAGCCAGGCAUGGUGUAGCCAUGCGCCUGUAGCCACAGCUACUCAGGAGGCUGAGGCAGGAGGAACACUUGAACCUGGGAGAUGGAGGCUGCAGUGAGUUGAGAUUGCAUCAUUGAACUCCAGCCUGGGCAACAGAGCAAGACUCCAUCUCAAAAAAAAUUUUAAAAUAAAGGAUAGAGGUAGAAGAGGACUAAUCAAAGGGCAAAGAGGAGAAUCCAGAAGGCCUGGUGUUAAGAAAGCUAGGAAAAGUGAUAUUGCCUGUUGCAAAAUGGACAGAGAAGGCAGGUGAGGACACAGUGAGAAGAAGGCCAUCUGCAAGCAGGAAUGGGUCCUCACUAGGAAUCAAAUCUGCUGGCACCUUGAUCUUGAACUUCCCAGCUUCCAGAACUGUGAGAAAUAAAUGUCUGUUUUUAAGCUACCC
rnacentral:lncRNA from 10 species